GCAAGUCGAACGAGAACGGGUUAAAGCUUGCUUUAAUUGUCAGCUAAGUGGCGCACGGGGAGUAAUAUAUAGGUAACAUGCCUUCGAGAAGGGGAUAACGUUUGGAAACGAACGCUAAUACCCUAUAUGCCUUUAAGUCGUAAGACUGCAAGGGAAAUAUUUAUAGCUCGAAGAUUGGCCUGUACAGUAUCAGUUAGUUGGUGAGGUAAUGGCCUACCAAGACAACGACGCUUAGCUGGUUUGAGAGGAUGAUC
rnacentral:rRNA from 1 species